UACGUAGGGCGCAAGCGUUGUCCGGAAUUAUUGGGCGUAAAGAGCUCGUAGGUGGCUUGUCACGUCGGGUGUGAAAGCUUGGGGCUUAACUCCAGGUCUGCAUUCGAUACGGGCUGGCUAGAGGUAGGUAGGGGAGAACGGAAUUCCUGGUGUAGCGGUGAAAUGCGCAGAUAUCAGGAGGAACACCCGUGGCGAAAGCGGCUCUCUGGGACGGUACUGACGCUGAGACGCGAAAGCGUGGGGAGCAAACAGG
rnacentral:rRNA from 1 species